GAUAUGUCUGAGGUCUGAGGCUCUUUAAAUAUCACACAAGAAUAAGAACUGGCUAGAUCUGAAAAUUCUUAUUCUAUAUCCUCUAAACCUGUGGUUCCCAAACUUUCUACGAUGACUUAAUGUUAGCUAUCACUUACUAUUCCUGCCAAGACUCUCCAAAAUAGUAAUGCUGAAGAUGUGACAGGAAGAAUAACCAAAAUAGCACCAUUUUGAGUGCCUACUCUUAAUAAGCAUUAUAAACAUACUUAUUUAGUCCUCAUGCAUCUCCAGGGAGAAGGCGCUAUUCACAUUUUUCAGGUGAGGAGUAUCAGAGUAAAUAAUAUUUCUUAGGUCACAAGGCUAGCAAGCAGUGAACCCUGCGGAUAAAGUCCUCGAGUCAGAGGGAGACCAGAGAGAGGAGAGGAGAACCUUUCUGGUCACUAACCAAAAGAAUGAGCUGUAUGAGGGUUCAAAGAUCACCAUGAAGUUGCAGAGUUUAAGGAAAAGUGAGAUAAUCAUGAAAAUAAACAACAAGUAAGGCUGGAGGUAAAUGGCACUGGUAGUUGUCUGAAAGGCUUCAGGAUACCUUCUUUGAGAAGAUGUCUACUUGAAUAAGUCUUAAAGGGUAUGAUCAAUGCUGAUGAAUACAUAUUAUUUUCACCUUAUUUUUCUUUCUGAUUCAUAUAACACUGAUUUCUUCAGAACAAGCAUGUGAUUAGUAAACAGCUAUAAUUUCCAGCUUCCCUUAUAGCUAAGAUUAAAUUAUGAUAUAAUUUUGGCCAAUGAAAUAUAUUUGGAAGUUUCUGGAUAUGGAAAUUUUUAAAAAGGAGAUAGACUUAGCUACCACAUGAUGUUUUUCCCUUUUCCUUCUUUCCUGCCUAGAAUGUAGAUAUGGUAAUGGUGAUGGAGCAGCCUUUUUGCAAACAUGAGGCAACAAACAGAAGAAUAAAAUCUCUAGUGUAUUUGAACUGGAGAGAGAAAAGCACAUUUCCAGAUAUUAGGGGAACCCAAGACCCUUCCACCAGCCUGCCUGGCCAAAUGGAUAUCCCAAGGACGGUGUUCCAAGGGAGGUGGUGACAUCAGGGCCGUGGCUAAUGGGAAGCAGCCCGAGGCACAUGGGAGAGUGGGAGAACUGGAAAGACGUGGGUGUUGCUCAAGUUAAAUUGUUUGGGUAUCUGUGAAGGAACUUGGCAGGUUCCUUCUACUCUUCACAAUCCCUCUCUCAGUUUACGACAAAUGUGAAUCGUAAUCCAAACAAAAGCAGGGGAAUUAGGGUAAGAGUUUUCCUCUCUAACUGUUCUUGGUUUAUUCAAAGCUCUUUUGGGACAAAAGAAAAAAAAUCAACGAUCAUCAGUAUUUGAAGACAAAUUCUUUCUGAAAAUAUGUAGGCUUGUACAUAAGUGUGAUUUGCUGAAACCUGUUUUCCAAUUUAGCCCAUUUGACUUGUUAAAACUGAACCCUGUUGUAGCAUCACAAACAUUUAGUUAUUUGAUAAACUACUGUAUUUCUCUGAAGCAAAGCAAAGCAAAGCAAAACAAAAAGCUAUAUACUCUUAGCUAUAGCUAUCUAUCUAAAUAUAAAUAUAUAAAUAAGUAUUUCAGUGGGACCUCUUUGCUCAAUCAAGGCAUACCUAUAAAAUGAAAAUGUUUAUUUUAAGAUUUAAUUAUUAUUUGGCUUCUCCUUACUCACAACUAUAGCUUACUUUAUGAAAUAUCAGAUCAGUUUCAGUGGGAAGGAGCAGUUUUGCCUCUCCUGAAAAACAGACCUUGGAUUGGUGGGGAUUCCUAUCCGAUGGGAUAGAUUUCUUUUCAUUUCAUCUCAUUACUUGUGUGUGUGUGUGUGUGUGUGUGUGUGUGUGUGUGUGUGUGUGUGUGUGUUUCCCUUCCUAACUCACUCACUGUACUUUAUCCCUUCAGAGCUACAGAAGUUUAUUUGGGACUCCUUUUUGGCACAACUAAAUGUUUAUUUUAGAGAUUAUCUUACUUCAGCUAUGGUUACAAUUUUGUAUUUUUAAAAGUUUACAAAUUCAAAUUUUAUGAGCUGGUUUCUCCAUUACUAUUUGGAGAAUCAAGAAAGUAGUUCUGCAAGUUAUCUUAUGUAUUGACCUUGGAAAUAAAGGGAACUUAGGACUGGAACUCUCAGAGCUGGAAAGAAACAACUUGCAAUACACUGGGGUCAGUAUGCAAGGAAAAUGGAAGCUCAGAGAUGAUGGUUAUGAUUUUCCCAAGAGCCCAUCCUGCUGGCUAGUAGGAAAAGUUGCCCCAAAACUAGUCCAGUGUACCAUACAUAUAUAAAGUGAACAGUUUCUAGUUAUAAUAAAAGAGAGUGCAAAAAUUCCUCAAAUGGUAAUUACAACUAAUUUGCACCAUAGGUUUCAGGUAGGAGUCUCAGGAAGUUGAAGAACCUUCAUAGUUACUCUGCAUAAAAUUAAAUUGAUGGAGACACCAGAGAAGGCUGAUUGAUUCUUCUACUAGAUUACUCAUUCCUCACUUAAUAAAAGGCUGGCAUUCUUUGACUUUUUUUGUUUUUUUUGUAAUGGAAGAUGAGACUAGAGUAGACUCAUGCUAUGAAAUGUCAGUAUUUGUAAAUUUCCAUCUUCUCUUCCUUAGGUAAGCCAUCAGACCUGCUAUCAUACAGCAGGACUCUCUACUGUGUUUGAACUUCUGCUUUUAGAGGGUAGGAUCAGAAAAUGAUCAAAAUGCAAGAAACAUGUAAAUUAUAUGGGUGAUUUUAAGGUGUAUGUAUAAAACCAUUUAUUUAGCAUUUACAAUGUUCUAGCUGCUCUGUUAAUACUUCCUGUUGUACUAAGUUAUUUCGUCUUGCAGAAAACACUGAGAUCAGUGCCUUCACUCCAUUUUACAGAUAAUCUUGAGCUUAGAGAAGUGAAGUAACUGACUUGAAAGCAGAGGAAAUAGAAAUCUUAACCCCUAUGAUGUACUACACAAUGGAGAAUCUGUGGCUGAAUAAUUUUCCAGGCAAUAAUUACAAAUUACCAAAAAUGCACCAUUAAAAUAGUAGUCAAAUCUCAAGAUUGCUGGUUGUUAGUUGACAUUAUCACCUGACAUUUCAUCAUUAGAAGGAAAGGACAGGAAGUUUUCCAGACAUUACACCAAAAGAGCUUUAAAAAUUACUAUUAUUUUAUAUACCAACCUCUAAAUCAUAAAACUCAAUUAAUUUCCACUUGGUAAGGUAGCGGUUGGCCAGUCUGUUUUGUAGUGUCUCAACUUUAGUACUAUUUGAAUGCUUACACAGUCUUCUUAUUCAUAACAGUUGCGACUGAAAGCCCUUCAGCUUAGAAGUUGUUCUUUUUUCUAACUUGAUUUAAUAAGUGACUGGGCUACUUAAUAAUCCAUGAAUAUAUAUUCUCAUGUGAGUAGCAAAUUUGCCAACUUAGAGAACCCAGCCUAAGAAUUUCUGACUAGGUUCAUCAUUCCACCUGCUAUCUUGUUUAAAGUAUCAAAUUUUGUCCAAACACUUCCUUCCUAAAUUAUAAAAAGGAAACUAACUUUGCUCCGGUGGAAUUACCAUAUUCAGAUUGAAACUCAGUUUAUCAAGGCAUUCAUUCGCGGAUGUGAUUCAGACUACUGGGUCUAAAUGUUAAGAUUUCAAAUCUUUGAACCAGAACAUAUAUUCACUACCAGAAAUCCUAUGUUUUCAGUGAAAUCCAUUUGAAAUACCUGCCACAGCUCUUCUUGAGCCGUAUUCAGGCAGCAAAACAAUUAAAAAGUGCACAGUGGUCUUAACUGACCAGCAUCCUAAAGAAGCAUGUUAAAUUCAGCUUUUGGGUUUAACGAAGGGCUGAGGUAUAAUACGCAAUCACCUUUCUUUGGGCUGGAUUGUGCAUUAUUUGGUGAACUUUUCCAAAAUCCAGCCAGCACCCUUCCUCUGACCACCCAGUCUGUUCUUUAGACAGCAUCCUCUCUGUCCCCUCUGUAUGCUUUCUGGAUCUGCUUAGGCACUGCACAGUCAUCUGACUACUAAACUAAGUUAAACACAAUUGGUAAAGGGAAGCUGCCAAGAAGCAAUCUGAUCCAUUGCAUUUCAAAAUCAAGUCUAUUCUAAAUGCCUGAUGUCCAUAGACCUGAAUCCACAAACUCUUCAAAUAAAAGAAAGUUGA